rnacentral:rRNA from 1 species
AUUGAACGCUGGCGGCAUGCUUUACACAUGCAAGUCGAACGGUAACAGGCCGCAAGGUGCUGACGAGUGGCGAACGGGUGAGUAAUGCAUCGGAACGUGCCCAGUCGUGGGGGAUAACGCAGCGAAAGCUGCGCUAAUACCGCAUACGAUCUAUGGAUGAAAGCGGGGGACCGGAAGGCCUCGCGCGAUUGGAGCGGCCGAUGUCAGAUUAGGUAGUUGGGUGGGUAAAGGCUCACCAAGCCAACGAUCUGUAGCUGGUCUGCGAGGACGACCAGCGCGACGGGGACUGAGAAACGGCGCAGACUCCUACGGGAGGCAGCAGUGGGGAAUUUUGGCGAAUGGGGGCAAGCCUGAUCCAGCAAUGCCGCGUGAAGGAAGUAGGCCUUCGGGUUGUAAACUGCUUUUGUACGGAACGAAACGGUCUGGGUUAAUACCCUGGGCUAAUGACGGUACCGUAAGAAUAAGCACCGGCUAACUACGUGCCAGCCGCCGCGGUAAAAC